GCUUCCUCCUCGUCCACUAGCCCGAGCUCGAGCAGCUCUCCUCGACCCCCAUCGCCGCCAUGCCCGCCGCUCUGCUCAGCUCAAAUUCGAGCCGGGCAGUGCCCCUCCCCCUCUCUUUCCACCACCAGUAGACUCCUCCUCCACCUAGACUUCGCCCCCGUGCUCUCCCUCCCCUCCGGUGGCCUUCUGCCAUGAGCUCGCCGCCGACCGAAGAUCGCCGUCCGCCGCGGCUGGCCUCCCGCUCAGCCGAGCCCUACCCCGCGGCUGCAUCUUGCCUGGAUGGAUCCGCCUCGUCGCGCUGAUCACGCCGGUAGGUCGCACGCCGCGAGAGGUGGCCGGAGUGGCCGGGAAUCCGCGUCGGGCCGCCGGUCUCGUCUCUACAUCGCGGGCGAGCGGGAGGAGGAAGAAGGAGCCAGGCCAGGCGGGCCCCAUCUCCACGCGGCCCCACCUGUCGGCGGGCAGGCGUUGACCCCGCCUGCCUAGCUGGAUAAGUGAUGGGCCCCACAGCCCGUGGGACCCGCACGUCAGCGACCCCAUGCCCGGCCCCGCCACUGUCCACGUGGAUAAGUGGAAGCGUACUUCGCAGAAGUACGUUUUCACCUUCAGAAAGCGUAUUUCUCUUCUGCUCCAGUCAGAUUCUUUUACAAAUCGGUCCCUGAACUUCGUCGGGCUAUAUCUUUUUACUCCCAACUCCAAAUGAGCCCCUCCGAGAGAGAACUGUUUCCGGCAAAUCUUUCCGCGAACUUCUCGCACGUCUUCCCUGUGUUUUCUUCAUCCCCAGGCAAGC